GGUGGGGCCUGUGAGGAAGACGGUGAGAAAGGCUCGAGUAGUGGCGGGCUCCUUUUGUGGAAACCACUUGUAUAAGUAAAAGACCUGCUAUAGUCUUCAAUCUAAUGGCCGUGCCAGUUUUAAAGGUCAGCCACAGCUGGGAGAGAGAGGCCAGCAGUGCAAGAAUGAACUAACAACUGGCAUGGCCCAAGGCAUCCAGGUAAACAAAGAUACUCUCAUGAAGCAGGACAUUCCAAGGGUUUACAGAUUACCUGCCAGGGGUAAGGGCCAUAGCUGUCUUUGAACAAGCUCAAUCCUUUACUAUAUGUAGGCAAAGACAAAAUACUCUAACUGUAAAGACUUUUAAAAUGAGCAACUGGCCUGUAUUAACCUUUAUUCAUUAAAAGAAUGAGUAGACAA